UUAGCUUUUUAUUUUAACCUUUUUUUUGUCAAAAGCAUCACUAAAUUUUUUUUAAUCCCUACACUACAAACAAUAAAUUUAUAAUUUAUAAUUUUACAUAAAAAAUAUUAAAUUACAUUGAUAACGAAUUACAUAGUACAUAUUCAUUCAACUUAUUUAACAUAAAAAAUAAUAAAACUCUUAAAAGAAGCUUUUAAUUUAUCUAUCAUAAAAUUUAUUUCAUAUUUUUUUCAACAAUUUAACC
rnacentral:lncRNA from 1 species